UUUAAAGUCUAAUCUGCCCUAUGAGGAUUUAAAUGGCCGCGGUACUUUGACCGUGCAAAGGUAGCAUAAUAAUUAGUUUUUUAAUUGAAAGCUGGAAUGAAUGAUUGGACGAGAAAAUAACUGUCUCAAUUUAAUUUUUUUUUAGAAUUUUAUUUUUAAGUAAGAAAGCUUAAAUUUAAUUAAAAGACGAGAAGACCCUAUAGAGUUUUAUAUUUAAGUUUAUUAUUAGUUUUUUAGAAUUAUUUUAUUAAUAUUAAAUUAAAUAUUUUAUUGGGGCGAUAGAAAAAUAUUAUUAACUUUUUUUAUUAUUAAUUCAUUAAUUUAUGAAUCAAUGAUCCAUUUUUUAUGAUUAAAAGAAUAAGUUACCUUAGGGAUAACAGCGUUAUUUUUUUUUAGAGUUCUUAUCGAAAAAAAAGAUUGCGACCUCGAUGUUGGAUUAAAAUAUAUGUUUGGUGUAGAGGCUAAAUAAUUAGGUCUGUUCGACCUUUAAAAUUUUACA
rnacentral:rRNA from 1 species